rnacentral:lncRNA from 1 species
GGCAUCUCUAUAUUAAACUACACAUAAAUACCAUUACAUACGGUAAAAAUAAACACUUAUGCACACUAGUUUUUCACAUUAUAAAAACAUAAUCUUUAUUUUACAAAAUAUAAAUAAUACAAUAAUGUUUUUAUUCAUAAGUUUGCAAAGCUAAAAAUAAAACAAAUAACAACAUUAGAUCCCAAGGAUUCUAACAUAACCAACAAUAAUAAAAAAAAAAAUAAAAAAUAAAGUUGGCAUAAGCCUUAAUUCCACUUUCACAAGCUACGUGAUCCAACAUUGCUUGUCCAUGACCUGCUUACAAAUAUGUGUGCAAAGGGACACAAAAAACAUGUGAGUACAUGAUACAUCAUGUUAAAAGAAUAAGGUUUAAGAAGAUGAACAUCCAACAUAGAUCAACAUAUACAACAUCAUAACAAUCACAACAAUAUAAUAUCAUAUGAUAUAAUGGAUAUAAACCUUAAUUCUAAGUUUUUUUAGAUGAUAUAAGUAAAAUUUAUCAUUAAAUAUCUCCAUGCUAUUCACAAACAACCAAAUAUAACACCAAUUUUAUAAUAUAUUUAACACUCUUGUAAGCAUAUCACGGAAAUUAAAAGAUCAAAGAUGUGAGAAAAUUUAUAAUAGUAAAAACAUUACAGUGACAAAGAAAAUGAAAGGUUUAGACAUAAUGAAGAAAUAUUGUUUGACUUAACUAGUGAACACAUAUGCAUUCAUCCUCAACACACUUGACUACUGUUUCAAGGGGACACAUGAUCCAUCGUUCUCUACACUCAGCGUCAGAAUUGCACUUUCCUGUAACAAAAAAUAAGAAAAAAAUUACUAAACAUGGGUGAACUAUUAUGAUAAAAUAAUUGAAAAAAAUAAUGAGCUCACCACAAACAUCAACUACUAUGAGGAAUAGGGAUACAAAAAGGAUCAUAACAUAAACAAACUUGGGAAUUCUAGCCAUUUUUUCACACUUGCAUAUAAUUGUAAAUAUAUAAUUGUG